GCACUGCUGAAGAGUCCCAGUCUAGGACGAAGCGACCGUCCAGUGC
rfam:Schistosoma haematobium scaffold1395_9, whole genome shotgun sequence.